rnacentral:rRNA from 1 species
UACGUAGGAGGCAAGCGUUGUCCGGAAUUACUGGGCGUAAAGCGCGUGUAGGUGGUGGGACAAGUCUGCUGUGAAAGCGCCUGGCUUAACCGGGCGAGGUCGGCGGAAACUGUCCGACUCGAGGACGGUAGAGGGGGGUGGAAUUCCCGGUGUAGUGGUGGAAUGCGCAGAUAUCAGGAGGAACACCGGUGGCGAAGGCGGGUCUCUGGGCAGUAACUGACGCUGAGGAGCGAAAGCGUGGGGAGCGAACAGG